UAAACAGUAGCUCAGUUGGUUAGAGCAAGGCCGAUAACGCCGAGGUCGUGGGUUCGAGCCCCACCUGUAUUUG
rnacentral:tRNA from 1 species